AUUGAACGCUGGCGGCAGGCCUAACACAUGCAAGUCGAGCGGAGCGGCGGACGGGUGAGUAAUGCCUAGGAAUCUGCCUGGUAGUGGGGGAUAACGUCCGGAAACGGGCGCAAAUACCGCAUACUAUCAGAUGAGCCUAGGUCGGAUUAGCUUGUUGGUGGGGGAACGGAUCAACAAGGCGACGAUCCCUAGCUGGUCUGAGAGGAUGACCAGCCACACGGGAACUUGUACACGGUCCAGACUCCUACGGGAGGCAGCAGUGGGGAAUAUUGCACAAUGGGCGCAAGCCUGAUGCAGCCAUGCCGCGUGUAUGAAGAAGGCCUUCGGGUUGUAAAGUACUUUCAGCGGGGAGGCGUUACCCGCAGAAGAAGCACCGGCUAACUCCGUGCCAGCAGCCGCGGUAAUUC
rnacentral:rRNA from 1 species